UUGCCAUGUGCUUUUAUCUCUACCCGCCUGCACCUUUUUCCAGUUACCUGUGGAUUAUAAGUUACUUCUGGCUGGACUUUCUGUCCGUUCCCAUAAGCUUUUAAAUCUUCACUUUUGUCAAUAAAUCACUGGACUGUCUCUGUCUGCCACACACUCAUCCCUGUGACUGUAACGGAUAUAAUCAGAGCCCCUCGACUGCCACAGGGGAUCAGCACGUAUAAGAAGAAGAAGAUCCUCGUGACUUCAGCGUACGCUUCAUACCAUCACGGAUGGACUCAUAAUUAAAACCUCUGAGCUACAGACCAGCUCACCUCGUCUCUGACAAGAACAGAUGGCCUGAACACGUCCAUCACCGGACCACCUGUAUCUGAAAGACACACGCACUUUAGACGAGGGAACUGAAACACACAAACGAUGUAAAACACAGUUUCUGUGUAGAAAUAGACUUGAGUGCUCUCACCAAUGUAGACGCGGUGUCUGACCCUACGGUCACGUCUGAGGGAAUCAAAAGUGCUGUGAUUAGUUUUUCUGCAUGUGAUUUGACUUUUGAUAUGACUCUUCUUUCUAAUCCUAGAAACCUUUUUCUAUGAAUGUUUAUAUCCCUUCUUACAUUAAAAAAGUUUUAUGUUAAACAAACCAUGCAUGCAGU